UCCAAGUCUGACACAAAACCCAGAAGCAACAAAGGAAAAGAAUGACAGAUUUAAGUGCAUGAAGUCUAAAUAUAUCCUGCAGGGCUCAAGAAACCAUAAGCAAAGGUAAAGCCAAAUACGAACAGGUAAAAGAUGAUAUAUGUACAAGAAACCUGUUAAAUGACACUAAUACAUAAAAAAGCUUCAACAAUUCAGUAAGAAAAAGACAAUUCAGCAGGAAAAAGUGGGCAAGUAACAUGGGACUUGUAGAAGAAAUACAAACACACACUUUAAGGGCGUCAACAUUUUUUUUUUCGACACAGGGACUUGCUACGUAGUUCUGACUGCAGCAGUGCUCCUACCUCAUCUCGUCGUAGUGCUGGGAUUAUAGGCAUGCAUCACCAUACCUGGUGGAAUGAUGGUCCUGUACUGCUAAACACAAGGUUUACCACUGACCUGUGCCCCCAGCCCAGUCCAAAGCUUUGAAGUUAACUGGAUCUUGGAC
rnacentral:lncRNA from 1 species